CCUACGGGAGGCAGCAGUGGGGAAUAUUGCACAAUGGGGGAAACCCUGAUGCAGCAACGCCGCGUGAGUGAAGAAGUAUUUCGGUAUGUAAAGCUCUAUCAGCAGGGAAGAAAAUGACGGUACCUGAGUAAGAAGCCCCGGCUAACUACGUGCCAGCAGCCGCGGUAAUACGUAGGGGGCAAGCGUUAUCCGGAUUUACUGGGUGUAAAGGGAGCGCAGACGGCAGUGCAAGUCUGGAGUGAAAGGCCGGGGCUCAACCCCCGAACUGCUCUGGAAACUGUGCGGCUAGAGUGCUGGAGGGGUAGGCGGAAUUCCUAGUGUAGCGGUGAAAUGCGUAGAUAUUAGGAGGAACACCAGUGGCGAAGGCGGCUUACUGGACAGUAACUAACGUUGAGGCUCGAAAGCGUGGGGAGCAAACAGGAUUAGAUACCCCGGUAGUC
rnacentral:rRNA from 1 species